CGACGGAACGUAGUANACGGAUACUCCAUAUAUAUCGCAUGAUGUAUAUGGGAAAGCUCCGACGGCAAAGGAUGGGCCCGCGGCCUGUUAGCUAGUUGGUGGGGUAACGGCCUACCAAGGCAAUGAUGGGUAGCCGGGUUGAGAGACCGACCGGCCAGAUUGGGACUGAGACACGGCCCAGACUCCUACGGGAGGCAGCAGUU
rnacentral:rRNA from 1 species